rnacentral:rRNA from 1 species
AGAGUUUGAUCCUGGCUCAGAACGAACGCUGGCGGCAGGCUUAACACAUGCAAGUCGAACGCAUCGCAAGAUGAGUGGCAGACGGGUGAGUAACGCGUGGGAAUCUACCUGGAACUACGGAACAACAGAGGGAAACUUCUGCUAAUACCGUAUACGCCCUACGGGGGAAAGAUUUAUCGGUUUCAGAUGAGCCCGCGUAAGAUUAGCUAGUUGGUGAGGUAAUGGCUCACCAAGGCGACGAUCUUUAGCUGGUCUGAGAGGAUGAUCAGCCACACUGGGACUGAGACACGGCCCAGACUCCUACGGGAGGCAGCAGUGGGGAAUAUUGGACAAUGGGCGCAAGCCUGAUCCAGCCAUGCCGCGUGAGUGAUGAAGGCCUUAGGGUUGUAAAGCUCUUUCAGUAGGGAAGAUAAUGACGGUACCUACAGAAGAAGCCCCGGCUAACUUCGUA